GAUGAACGCUGGCGGCGUGCCUAAUACAUGCAAGUCGAGCGAACGGACGAGAAGCUUGCUUCUCUGAUGUUAGCGGCGGACGGGUGAGUAACACGUGGAUAACCUACCUAUAAGACUGGGAUAACUUCGGGAAACCGUAGCUAAUACCGGAUAAUAUUUUGAACCGCAUGGUUCAAAAGUGAAAGACGGUCUUGCUGUCACUUCUAGAUGGAUCCGCGCUGCAUUAGCUAGUUGGUAAGGUAACGGCUUAUCAAGGCAACGAUGCAUAGCCGACCUGAGAGGGUGAUCGGCCACACUGGAACUGAGACACGGUCCAGACUCCUACGGGAGGCAGCAGUAGGGAAUCUUCCGCAAUGGGCGAAAGCCUGACGGAGCAACGCCGCGUGAGUGAUGAAGGUCUUCGGAUCGUAAAACUCUGUUAUUAGGGAAGAACAUAUGUGUAAGUAACUGUGCACAUCUUGACGGUACCUAAUCAGAAAGCAACGGCUAACUACGUG
rnacentral:rRNA from 1 species